rnacentral:rRNA from 1 species
UACGAAGGGGGCUAGCGUUGCUCGGAAUCACUGGGCGUAAAGCGCACGUAGGCGGAUCUUUAAGUCAGGGGUGAAAUCCUGGAGCUCAACUCCAGAACUGCCCUUGAUACUGGCGGUCUCGAGUCCGGGAGAGGUGAGUGGAACUGCGAGUAUAGAGGUGAAAUUCGUAGAUAUUCGCAAGAACACCAGUGGCGAAGGCGGCUCACUGGCCCGGUACUGACGCUGAGGUGCGAAAGCGUGGGGAGCAAACAGG